CGCGCAAGCCCGCUAGCGCGGGACGCUCGGGCUUCGGCGCUCUCCUCAGCCCCAUCCUUUCCCCUCCUCAGCCCAAGAAAAGCAAGAAGACAUCUCAUAUUUUACAUUUCAAAUUAAAAUUAUUUGGAGACUUGAGAGUCAGACAGUUCCUGAUCGAAUCCCCGUGCCUCUGCUUACUAGUUGAGUAAACUUGGUAGCUAGACUGUGCUGGACCAAUAAGAGCUUCAAGAAUGGAAAAGUUCUUUGAGCAGCUCUGGAGGAUUUGGAGUACUGGAUGCAUGGAUCAACUCCUUCCCUCCCCAGAGCUGAGAUUUAUGACCAUGAAAGGACAUAAAGCAAAAUCAACAAAGAAAAAAGAUGCAUGAGGUGAAAUCCAGAGGAAUCCAAGCACAAACUUCCAAGGGUCCUCGGCCAGUGGAGUCACACAGGACACACUUAAUUCUUCAGGAAGGACUUCCCCAGGAUGCCCUCAUUGAGAACGUGUUAGCGUCGUUAUUCCAGAGUUGGUUGAGGAAAUGGGAAUUCCCGAUUGAGGGAACAGCCGGGGGAGGCAUAAAAGCACGUGGUGUGCUCAGACACAAUUAUUGCAGAAUUUAAUCUUACUUUGGGAAAGACCCACAAUGGUGGACUGAAAUUGCACAACAAAAAAAUGAACACAGGGUAGCAGCUAUAGCACCCAUUGCAACAUAGAGGAAUCUCAUAGAAACGGUGUGGAGCUCCUUGGAGAUCACGGUGAAUACUGAUGUGUUGAAUUGUAUUGAAGGAACCAUUUUAAUGGCAGAAACUAUACGGGGUAAUGAAGAAUGAGACCACAACUGUAAG